AUUGAACGCUGGCGGCAGGCCUAACACAUGCAAGUCGAGCGGAGCGGCGGACGGGUGAGUAAUGCCUAGGAAUCUGCCUGGUAGUGGGGGAUAACGUCCGGAAACGGACGCUAAUACAGCAUCCUAUCAGAUGAGCAUAGGCCGGAUUAGCUAGUGGGUGGGGUAAAGGCCUACCAAGGCGACGAUCCGUAACUGGUCUGAGAGGAUGAUCAGUCACACUGGAACUGAGACACGGUCCAGACUCCUACGGGAGGCAGCAGUGGGGAAUAUUGGACAAUGGGCGAAAGCCUGAUGCAGCCAUGCCGCGUGUGUGAAGAAGGUCUUCGGGUUGUAAAGCACUUUAAGUUGGGAGGCGUUACCAGCAGAAUAAGCACCGGCUAACUUCGUGCCAGCAGCCGCGGUAAUAC
rnacentral:rRNA from 1 species